UACGUAGGGGGCAAGCGUUGUCCGGAUUUAUUGGGCGUAAAGGGCUCGUAGGCGGUUCGGUAAGUCGGAUGUGAAAUCUCCAGGCUCAACCUGGAGGGGUCAUUCGAUACUGCCGUGACUAGAGGUCGGUAGGGGAGUGUGGAAUUCCUGGUGGAGCGGUGAAAUGCGCAGAUAUCAGGAGGAACACCCGUAGCGAAGGCGGCACUCUGGGCCGAUACUGACACUGAGGAGCGAAAGCGUGGGGAGCGAACAGG
rnacentral:rRNA from 1 species